AUGCUUGUAGAAAGGAAAGACAGUUGGCAUCUCCCCUAACAGAGACAGGAACAACUUUCGAGCUUACCUGUUAUCGAUACAUACGGUUAAGACUCUCCGCUUUUUGUGGAUCUUAUCCAAUUUUUUUU